UGAGAGGAGGAGCCCGGAGAUGGGCACUGAGAUAAGGGCCCAGGCCCUAUGGGGCGCAGCAGGCGCGAAACCUCUGCAAUGGGCGAAAGCCUGACAGGGUUACUCUGAGUGAUUCCCGCUAAGGGGAUCUUUUGACACCUCUAAAAAUGGUGUAGAAUAAGGGGUGGGCAAGUCUGGUGUCAGCCGCCGCGGUAAUACCAGCACCCCGAGUGGUCGGGACGAUUAUUGGGCCUAAAGCAUCCGUAGCCGGUUCUUCAAGUCUUCCGUUAAAUCCAGCCGCUCAACGGAUGGGCUGCGGAAGAUACUAAAGGACUAGGAGGCGGGAGAGGCAAGCGGUACUCAGUGGGUAGGGGUAAAAUCCUUUGAUCCAUUGAAGA
rnacentral:rRNA from 1 species